AGUCUUUUUUCGUGGACCACAACAGUCGAGCUACCACUUUCAUUGACCCCCGAAUCCCUCUUCAGAACGGUCGUCUUCCCAAUCAUCUAACUCACCGACAGCACCUCCAGAGGCUCCGAAGUUACAGCGCUGGAGAGGGACCCCAGCUUCCUCUGCAAAUGGGUGACCACUAACGUGUGUUCCAGCUGUGUGAUUCUCAGAGUCUGUGGGGCUUGAUUCCACGUCUUCAGGACCGCAUAACUAAGAGACCCAUUAACUACAUAGAGCUAAGAGGAGCAGGAAAGGCAGGACGGAAGGAUGGCAGGUUUGUCUUUAGGCAAGUUGAUAAUGUGUGUGAAAAUAGCAGGGUAUCUGAUUAGAUAUGACAGUUAAACAGAUGGAAAUAUGAGACUCAGCAAUCAUCGAUGGGUUAUUUCCAUAAUCCAUUAUUUUUCUGUGUCCCGUAUCACAGGCAAUAGGGAAUUAACUAUAGAUAUUUCUUAGACUACAACUUACAAGUGUGGGUAUUUUCUGUUCACCUACAUAAGCCAUUCUCUUGAGUGUUAUUCAGCAGUUGAUUUUUUUAUAAAUUGCAUGUAAGGACAGAAUUAAAAUGGGUUUCUAUAUUAA
rnacentral:lncRNA from 1 species